ensembl:lncRNA
AUGGGCAGGAUGCUUUUUCUUCUCACUCCUCUCUUAGGAGUUGUUUUCUGUAGUCAUGGUAAGCUGUCUGGACCAGAGUUAGUGGUAAGAGUCAGCCCGGGUGAUAACAUCACUCUUCACUGUGACUGCCAAAGAUCAAGCGGCAAAUUCAUAGCUUGGUUUAGGAACUGUUCUCAUGAGAACCAGCCUUCACUCAUUCUAAGGACAAACUACAAAUAUGACCCAUCAUACCUUGAGGACAAAGUAAAUAUUCUCAAUCCAUUCCCUCGUUUGCAUUUAGUGGAAAACCAGUCUUCUGACUCCUAUGACCUGUUGAUCAUGAACACUACUGAUUCUGAUGAGGGUCUCUACUACUGUGGAACUGAACAGAAGGAGGUUGACACAACAUUUCCUCAGAAAUAUAUUUACAAAUACGGCAACAUCACAACCAGGAUUCUGCUGAACUCCACUGAUUCCAGCCCUUGCCCUGGUUCCACUGGUUCCAGUGUUGUGUUUUGGAUGAUGGUGUUUACUCCCACAUUCUCUAUUUUGGCUUCCUUUGUCUCCUUUAUUUUGAUUUAUCAACUCUGUCAGAAAACAGAAAAAGGUCAUCAACAGAAAAGGCCAGAUAACAGACGUCAAAGAAGACAGAAUCGGGAUGAAGACUUGUAUUUAGCACAAGCUGUGUACUGGGUUCAGCGGGGACGUAUGCAUCAGACUGAUUCUAGAUGGAGAGAGCCUGUACACUUUGUUUCAAAAGAAUACAUGUAAUUUUCUUUCAGAAACCAUGAGAGCUUGUGCUGAUACAUUUUAUAUACAUGAAGUUAUCUUGGAUACACAGUAGUCCAUGUCAAAGUCAAAAUUGAUAAAUUUAAAAACACAAUUAGGUACAACUUAAAUACUAACAACCACAUGAGUUGUCUAUCAUCAUCAUUAUUAAGCUGUUUAUGACUUUUAUUUAAUUUAUUAAAUACAAUGUUUAAUAUAUGAACAAACAUUUUUAAUUGUUGAUUUAAAACCUUACAAUGUGCACCAACUGUACAUUUAAUAAAAAUUGAUUAUGAUAUAUCAGUGAUGAUCUUGAAAAGCUCAUUCAUGCUUUUGUGACCUCUAGAUUGGAUUACUGUAAUUCUCUCUACUUUGGUCUUCACUCUGCUCUCCUUCAUAGACUUCAGCUUGCCCAAAAUGCUGCGGCUUGCCUUCUGACUGGUACUAGAAAGCAUGCCUCUAUCACCCCCGUUCUUGCUGAUUUGCACUGGUUACCCAUCAAAUAUCGUAUCGAAUUUAAAAUAUUGUUGCUCACCUUUAAAAUUAUAAAUAAUUUAGCCCUUAGCUAUCUUGCCGAUUUCUUUAGUCCAUAUGUCCCUGGGCGAGCCCUCAGGUCUUUAGCCCAAUUAUUCUUAGUUCAGCCUAGAUCUAGACUUAAAUCUAGGGGCGACUGUACUUUUGCCCUGGUUGCACCUAACCUGUGGAACAAUCUUCCAAUCGCUGUCUGUUUGUCAGACUCCAUUCUAUCUUUUAAAUCUCAUUUAAAAACUCACUUAUUUAACCUAGUUUUUCCGUCUAGUUAGUGUCCCUAUUUUAUAUUGGGCUCCAUUUUUAUCUAUGUACUUUAUCUUUUAGUUAUAUCUGUUCUUAGUAAGUUUGUUCUUAUAUUCCCUUUUAUUCCUGUAUAAUUAGUGCCUUCAACCUGCUGACUUUGUGGUACUUUGUUAAUGGUCUUUUAUUUAAUCAUGUCUUAAUUUCCCUGUUUCUAUUGUAAAGUACUUUGGUAUACCGCUGGUGUGCUAUAUAAAUAAAGUUGUAUUGUAUUGAAACAAAAAGUCACUUCACCCACACUCUGUUGCGAAGCUCUCACACGGUUAGCUUUCUAGUCACACACUCUUUUGUGCAAGUUAACCUCAGUAAAACUAGCCGAGUCUCUCACUUUGGUUCAGCUAACCUCGUGCAUCUCUCCAUGCCGUUCUCUUCUGUGAACUGUGAACACCUUAUGUGGCGUUCAAGUCCAUGGGAAUUAUGAGUAUCUACUACCAAAUUCCCAUCCGGGCUACAUUAGUAUCGGUUCAUGGUAUCGGUUGACUUUUACGAGUACGAGUACGCACACAUUUUACAGUAUCGGCCCCGAUACCCGAUACCAGUAUCGGGAUCGGUGCAUCCCUAGUGCUCAUCACUCUUAUAUGUUCAAAUGCAUAGUGUGGAGGACGUCAUAAGGCCUCGAGGCAAUCAGAUGUAAAACACAAUAUUUAUGAGUUUUUUAAAUUUGUAAAUCGGUCAGAUUUGACCCGAACACAACAGUGUGCGGCACUCAUCUUCCCAGUAACAAAAUCUGAAUGCAACAGAAAACAGCUCGUAUGUGGUAGAAUUUUAGACCAUCAAUAGAAACGAAUAAUAAAAAUUAUCGAAAUUAUUAUUGCAGUUUUUAUUCAGAGAAGCUUUCCCGCUCACAAGCCAGCCACACCUAUGAUUACUUGUACCUGUGGUUGAUGACCUCAACAUCUCUGCACUACUUUAUAGUGCACCUGAGCUUCAUUCGAUGCUGGAUCGUUGUGUCCAACAGUGUGUCUUUUCAGGUUUCUUUCUUGUGUAAAUGUAACAGGGUCUUAUCGUUGUUCAUGCCCAGGAAUCGGAGGAGUGAGCGUGUGUAGAAAUCAAGUUGGUGUUUGUAAAUAUUGCUGUUGAGACUAAGAAGAAAGAAGUGGCAAUGGAAGUGUUUCACUGUUGCACAUUUAUCAUUGUAAAUAAAUUCACUUUUUUGCUGGAAGUCCGGCAGCUGUUUUUUUUUAAAUAACUUCCGACAAGAAAGCCUCAUUUCUGCUGUUCAAUACCAAAAUUAUGGCAAAUUGCAAAACACUUAGCUGUGUCUGUAAUAAAACCUCUGUGACCUUCCUCUGCUUCACUUCAGCAGCAUCAGAUAAUGUUCAUAUGUUGAUUCAUGGUUUUCUUACGUUUUUUUUCUACUGCAGAAUAUUUUUAAGGUUAUCUGGUAUAAAAAGCCAUGCCAGGAAAAUUCUCCUUCAUGUUUUUCUGUGUUUUAUCCUCAGUUACUUUGACACAAAUGCAUCUGCUGUGAUGCUUGCACCUCUGAUGAAGUCUCAUAAGUGUCUGUACUGAUAAAUGAUCAGAAUUACAAUAUUUCUGACUCACUGAGUCAAAAUUGAAUUGAAUCGAAUCGUGGUUUGAAUUGAAUGGGGACCUUGUGAAUGGGAAUAGAAUCAAUUCUAGAAAUCAGCGACGCUUAUCCACUUGCCUUAACAAGAACUACCACAACACAGAUUUCCUGCCACUGAUCUUAUGAAGUUAUAAAUCCAAAUGUAAUGUUUUUGGUUCUGAUGGAUGUCAAUAGGAGGAGGUCAGAAGAAAGGUACAACACUGAGUAUCUACAACCAUCUUAAAAUAUGGUGAAGAAAACAAAAGAUAGCCAACAUCCACACAAGUGCUAUAGAAUGUUGUUAAAAAUUCUGGCUACUCCUAAAGACCACUUAAAGAAAUCAGUAGACUACUUCAAGAAAGACUACCAAAAGAAACUACGACAAAGCUUGCCUAAGAGAUUUCAGGCUAUGUUGAAGAAUAAAGAUGGUCAUAGCAAAUAUAAAUUCUGUUUUUGCCUAAUAAACUGUAUUUCUGUUGUCACGUUAAGCAGUUUCACCCCAGUUCUUUUUAUUCCUCAGGCCUCCAAAGACGACACCAGAAGUCAGUAGUUACCUCACAAAUCCUGUAUUCAUAUUCACUCACUUAUGCAUCUUCUAGAAGGGAGAUGUACAUGGCCCGGCAAUUCCUCCGCAAAUGUCAACUUACAAGGAACUAUAUUUUGUCUGUUACAAACAGUUUUAUAGAAGCGACCCCCCAUCAUAAAACCCACAUGGUGUGUCGUAAACCUAAAACCCUGUUGUAUGUACGAGCACGUGAGUGCCUGCGUGUGUGCGUACCUGUGUGUGUGCAUGUGUAUAUGUGUGUAUGUGUCUCUAUGUAUGUGACUUCCUGCAAGUCAUAAAGAGGGCCAUC